ACACACUGACUAAAUACAUUGUUUAUCAUAUUUCGCCUUUUACUAAAGAUUUCCGUGGAGAGGAACAACCAUGAGUUUUGGUGAAUUUUUUGAUGCCUGGCUAAUGCCGGGCU